rnacentral:rRNA from 1 species
UACGGAGGGUGCAAGCGUUAUCCGGAUUCACUGGGUUUAAAGGGUGCGUAGGUGGGCAGGUAAGUCCGUGGUGAAAUCCCUGAGCUUAACUCGGGAACUGCCAUGGAUACUAUUUGUCUUGAAUAUUGUGGAGGUAAGCGGAAUAUGUCAUGUAGCGGUGAAAUGCUUAGAUAUGACAUAGAACACCAAUUGCGAAGGCAGCUUACUACGCAGUUAUUGACACUGAGGCACGAAAGCGUGGGGAUCAAACAGG